UACGUAGGGGCUAGCGUUAUCCGGAAUUACUGGGCGUAAAGGGUGCGUAGGUGGUUUCUUAAGUCAGAGGUGAAAGGAUACGGCUCAACCGUAGUAAGCCUUUGAAACUGGGAAACUUGAGUGCAGGAGAGGAGAGUGGAAUUCCUAGUGUAGCGGUGAAAUGCGUAGAUAUUAGGAGGAACACCAGUAGCGAAGGCGGCUCUCUGGACUGUAACUGACGCUGAGGCACGAAAGCGUGGGGAGCAAACAGGAUUAGAUACCCCCGUAGUCCCUGAGCGGG
rnacentral:rRNA from 1 species